rnacentral:tRNA from 1 species
GGAGGGCUAGUCCUAACUGGUAAGGCAGCGGACUUGAAAUCCGCCGGGUUUAGGCCCAUGGGGGUUCGAAUCCCUCGCCCUCCG